GUUACAGUUAAGGACUAGGGACUUGCGUAGGAGUAACCUGUACGGAAAAUUCAUCGAAAUCGAUAAAUUGUGUUCUGCUGAUUUACCAUUAGAAACCAAAAUGAAGAUGCUGAACUUUAUGAAAAGAUUUGGUAAAACUCCAUUUGGAAUAAGCGUCGGAGGAUUCUUUUAUGUUAAAAAAAACUUCUUCAUUCGAAUUCUGAGUGCCGUAUAUUCAUCGCUGUCUGUGUUGACAGAACUUUUAAUUAAAAGGAAACAACCUUCUUGUAAAGUUGAGAUUACAGACCUAAUUCAAUAAAGCUAUUGAAUUAAAUUGCCUCGCAGCUGACUUUAAAGUUUGAAUAACUGCAGACUUAUUAUAAGGAAAUGAGGUAUUUUUGUGUUCGAAAAAGGAAGUGGAUUGUAAACUUAUCAGAAAAAUUUGAAAUCUCAAAGAAGUCAAAGAAAAUACUCCUUACGAAACAUCAAGAUUUGACUCUCGAUUCUUUCGUAGAAAGUUAGGACAUUCGUUCGACAAUAAAUUUAUGCGUCAGUA